UGUGUAAUUGGAUUUUAUAUCCCUAGCACCUGGCACAGUGCCUACCACAUAACAGGUGCUCAAUAAACACUUAUUGAAUGAAUUAUAAUUUUUAAGUUUAAUCCAUAACAGAUAAGCAUGGCAUGUCAGUUAUGCAUUGUGCAUUGUGUAGCCUUAAGGCAGACAGACACUAUCAGCUAAAUGAAAGCAAAUACUUAUGGUAUAACUACUUUGUGGUGGGAAUUCUGUUGGGUUCAGAGCUAUAUUCUCUGUUCAAAUUGUUCAUUUAUUCGUCUACCUUCAAGAGACCACUUAGGGCAUCUUCAUAAAAAGAUGGGGUCCAAAAAUCAAAUGAAAACAGCAUUAGACAAAUGUUUUUAUGCUAGUCUAUAUCAUAUCAAACAUUGAGAUAUUGGGAAAUGUCUAGGCUUAUAAAUACUUUUUUAAAGUUUAUAUAUAUAUAUAUAUUUUUAUUACACUAAGUUCUAGGGUACAUGUGCACAACGUGCAGGUUUGUUACGUAUGUAUACAUGUGUCAUGUUGGUGUGCUGC
rnacentral:lncRNA from 1 species